rfam:Salmo salar isolate Sally breed double haploid chromosome ssa22, whole genome shotgun sequence.
UACAUACAAUGUAAGUCGCUUUGGAUAAAAGUGUCUGCUGAAUGGCAUUUA